CACUAACUGGAGGACCGAACCGACUAAUGUUGAAAAAUUAGCGGAUGACCUGUGGCUGGGGGUGAAAGGCCAAUCAAACCGGGAGAUAGCUGGUUCUCCCCGAAAGCUAUUUAGGUAGCGCCUCGUGAAUUCAUCUCCGGGGGUAGAGCACUGUUUCGGCUAGGGGGCCAUCCCGGCUUACCAACCCGAUGCAAACUGCGAAUACCGGAGAAUGUUAUCACGGGAGACACACGGCGGGUGCUAACGUCCGUCGUGAAGAGGGAAACAACCCAGACCGCCAGCUAAGGUCCCAAAGUCAUGGUUAAGUGGGAAACGAUGUGGGAAGGCCCAGACAGCCAGGAUGUUGGCUUAGAAGCAGCCAUCAUUUAAAGAAAGCGUAAUAGCUCACUGGUCGAGUCGGCCUGCGCGGAAGAUGUAACGGGGCUAAACCAUG
rnacentral:rRNA from 1 species